GUGGCAGACCGCCAUAGUGGGUCAAAGGGGCAGCCCGCCACGCUGCUCAGCCCUAGGGGCGCCCCACACACUCUGGUGUCCGACUGCCAGAGUGGCCCAAAUUGGCAGCCCGCAGCGCUGCACAGCCCUGGGGGCCCUCCUCCCACUCAUGCGGCCGACCGCCAGUGUGGGUCAAAGUGGCAGCCCGCCGCGCUGCUCAGCCUUGGGGUCCCUCACCCCACUCAGGCGGCCGACAGACAGAGUGGGUCAUAGUGGCAGCCCGCCGCGCUGCUCAGCCCGGGCGGGCCCCUCUCUACUCAGAUGGCCGACAGCCAGACUGGGUCAAAGUGGCAGCCUGCCGCGCUGCUCAGACCUGGGGGACCCACCCCCACUCAGGCGGCGGACCACCAGAGUGGGUCAAAGUGGCAACCCGCAGCGCAGCUCAGCCCUGGGCGCCCCACCUUGUCUCAGGCGGCAGACCGCCAGUGUGGGUCAAAGUGGCAGCCCGCCGCGCUGCUCAGCCCUGGGGUCCCUCACCCCACUCAUGCGGCCGACAGCCAGAGUGGGUCAAAGUGGCAACCCGCCGCGCAGCUCAGCCCUGGGGGACACAACCUGACUCAGGUUGCAGACCGCCAGAGUGGGUCAAAGUGGCAGCCCGCCGCGCUGCUCAGCCCUGGUGGCCACACCCCACUCAGGCGGCCCACCGCCAGAGUGGGUCAAAGUGUUAGCACGCAUUGCUGCUCAGCCCCUGGGGACCUCCCCCACACUCAGGUGCCCAACCAGCAGAGUGGGACAAAGUGGCAGCCCACAGCGCUGCUCAGCCCUGGGGGCCCUCCCCCCACUCAGGCGGCCGACCGCCAGAGUGGGUCAAAGUGGCAGCCCGCCGGGCUGCUCAGCCCUGGGGGCCCUCUCCCCACUCAGGAGUCUGACCGCCAGAGUGGGUCAAAGUGGCAGCCCCACCCCCACUCAGGCGGCCGACAGCCAGAGAGGGUCAAAGAGGGAGCCCGCCGCGCUGCUCAGCCCCCCCAACAGUCAGGCGGGCGACGGCCAGAGUGGGUCAAAGUGGCAGUCCGCCACGAUGCUCAUCCCUGGGGGCCCUUUCCCCACCCAAGCGGCCGACCGCCAGAGUGGGUCUAAGUGGCAGCCCGCUGCGCUGCUCAGCCCUGGGGCCCCUCCCUCCCACUAAGGCGCCCCACCGCCAGAGUGGGUCAGAGUGGCAGCCCGCCGCGCUGCUCAGCCCUGGGGGCCCCACCCCCACUCAGGCGGCAAUCCGCCAGAGUGGGUCAAAGUGGCAGCCCUCCGAGGUGCUGAGCAUUGGCGGGCCCGACCCCCACUCAAGCGGCCCAUAGACAGAGUGGGAAAAAGUGGCAGCCCGCCGCGCUGCUCACCCCUGGCGGCCACCGCCAACUCAGGCGGCCGACCGCCCGAGUGGGUCAAAGUCGCAGCCCGCAGCACUGCUCAGCCCUGGGGGCGCCCCACGUAGUCUGGCGGCCGAUCGCCACAGUGGCUCAUAGUGGCAGCCCACCACGCAGCUCAGCCCUGGGGGUCCCACGCCCACUCAGGCGGCCGACCGCCAGAGUGGGUCAAAGUGGCAGCCCGCCGCGCAGCUCAGUCCGGGCGGGCCCCCCUCUACUCAGGCGGCCGACAGAAAGACUGGGUCAAAUUGGCAGCCCACCGCACUGCUCAGCCCUGGAGGCCCCCCCCCCACUCUGGCUGCCGACCGCCAGAGUGGGUCAAAGAGGCACCCCGCCGCGCUGCUCAGCCCUGGGGCCCUCCCUCCCACUGAAGCGGCCGACCGC
ensembl:lncRNA